GACGAACGCUGGCGGCGUGCCUAAUACAUGCAAGUCGAACGCAGUGGGGACGGGUGAGUAACACGUUGGUAACCUCCCAUCAGAGGGGAUACCACUUGUAAACAGGUGCUAAACCGCUACUGCUGGAUGGACCCGCGGUGCAUUAGCUAGUUGGUUAGGUAACGGCUCACCAAGGCCACGAUGCAUAGCCGACCUGAGAGGGGGAUCGGCCACACUGGGAAUGAGACACGGCCCAGACCCCUACGGGAGGCAGCAGUAGGGAAUCUUCGGAAAUGGACGAAAGUCGGACCGAGAAACGCGGAGUGAGUGAAGAAGGUUUUCGGAUCGUAAAACUCUGUUGUUAUAGAAGCGGUAUCUAACCAGAAAGCCACGGCUAAAUACGUGCCAGCAGCCGCGGUAAUAC
rnacentral:rRNA from 1 species